AACGUAGGACGCAAGCGUUAUCCGGAGUUACUGGGCGUAAGCGCGGGCAGGCGGCUCGAAACGUCUGAUGUGAAAUCUCCUCGCUCAACGGGGAGAGGCCAUUGGAAACGGUCGAGCUGGAGGGCAGUAGAGGUAGGCGGAAUUCCGGGUGGAGUGGUGAAAUGCGUAGAGAUCCGGAGGAACACCAGAGGCGAAGGCGGCCUACUGGGCUGCACCUGACGCUGAGCCGCGAAAGCCAGGGGAGCGAACGGG
rnacentral:rRNA from 1 species